AAUGUGCUGGUUCAUUCCCCACUGGGGUGCCCCAAGGCUCGGUGAUGGGACCACUUCUCUUUGCCAUUUACACCACCUCGUUGGGCCCUAUCAUCCGCUCGCAUGGUUUUUCCUACCACUGUUAUGCCGAUGAUACUCAACUGUUUCUGUCUUUCCCUCCUGAGGACACCACGGUCUCGGCGCGGAUUUCGGACUGUCUCGCUGAUAUAUCCACAUGGAUGAAAAAUCACCACCUUCAGCUGAACCUGGCCAAAACGGAACUGAUGGUCUUCCCAGCCAAACAGGUCAUCCACCACAACAUCAAGAUCAAUACUGACUCUUUAUCUCUUGCUCCAUCCAAAACAGCAAGAAACCUCUGGGUCAUUAUUGAUGACCAACUGACCUUCACGGCCCACAUCGCCUCUGUCUCCAGGUCGUGCCGCUUUGCGCUAUACAACAUCCGCAAAAUCAGGCCGUACCUAACCCAGUAUGCCACCCAGCUGCUGGUGCAAACCUUGGUGAGCUCCCGCCUUGACUACUGCAACGCCCUCCUAAUGGGCCUGCCGGCUUGCGUGGUGAAACCACUACAGAUGAUCCAGAACGCGGCGGCGCGUCUGGUGUUCAACCAACCGAAAAGGGCACACGUCACCCCGCUACUCAUCGAGCUCCACUGGCUGCCAGUAGCUGCUCGCAUUAAGUUCAAGUCACUUAUGCUUGCCUACAGAGUGCUUACUGGUUCUGCUCCCACCUACCUAAAUGCUCUUGUAAGGGCAAAUGUUACACCCAGGACGCUGCGCUCGUCUAGUGAGCGUCGUUUGGCACUGCCGUCCGUGCAAGCACGGCAAUCCAGACUAUUUUCAUUUGUAGUUCCACGUUGGUGGAACGAACUGCCUAGUACUACCAGAGCAGGGGCGUCCCUCUCUACCUUCAAGAAGCUUUUGAAGACCCAACUCUUCAGAGAGCACCUCCCCUCCUAACUGGCACCUGACUAGCGCUUAACUUGCACUUCAGCAGUUACAUUCCUGCACUUCUUUUUCCUCUUUUCUAGGUUGUUGUUUUUCUAAUUCUCAUGUAAAGUAGUAUUUAUUGUUACACCAUGCUUUUUUUAUUGCUCUUAGCUUGACUGUUCUCUCCCUUGUACGUCGCUUUGGACAAAAGCGUCUGCUAAAUAUCUAAAUGUAAAAUGUAAAUGUAAAAUGUAAAUUCCAUUGACAUGGAUGAAGCUUUUCUGACACAGGUAUUAAGCAUUCAGCCUUUUCC
rnacentral:lncRNA from 1 species